rnacentral:rRNA from 1 species
CCUACGGGAGGCAGCAGUGGGGAAUAGUGGGCAAUGGAGGCAACUCUGACCCAGCAACGCCGCGUGAAUGAUGAAGGUCUUCGGAUUGUAAAGUUCUGUGAUGGGGGAGGAACACAAUGACGGUACCCCAAUAGCAAGCCACGGCUAACUACGGGCCAGCAGCCGCGGUAAUACGUAGGGGGCAAGCGUUAUCCGGAAUGACUGGGCGUAAAGGGUGCGUAGGGGGUUGAGUAAGUUGGCGGGGUAAUUCCGGGGCUCAACCUCGGCGCUCCCGCCCAAACUAUUAGACUAGAGUGCAGGAGGGUUAAGUGGUAUUCCUCGUGUAGCGGUGUAAUGCGUCUAUAUUAGGCGG